UGUCCUCCUUGGGAAUAAACCUCUCGUGUUGAGCAGCUCGCUCAAACGCAUCUGGGUUCUCAGCGUCUUCGACAGUGACGCACUGACGUCGGCCUGAAGCAUUGGUAUCAAGUUAAGAUGUACUUAAGGCUGCCUCGUCUGGAUGUUCCUGUAUAGCAUUCCGCAUUGUUUUAGGGUUUGCCUGUUUUUCUUUAGGAAAAGCACCUCCGCGCGCCUGACAAUACGGGUCGCGCAUACGGGUAGACAACUCAGGAACAAACGCUGAUGGUGUCUUAUCUCAUCCAGGACUUCUGGUACGGGAUGUAAGCGACGUAACAUAUCGGGAAGCUGGGGGUUUGGCAGGGCCUUCCAGCUUUCACGGAUUGGACCUGAAAUGGGCCUGCCACAACUAAUGGCCAAACAAACAGGAAUUGGCGGUUGUUAGGCAAUGAUGCAAAGGCCGUCGCUGCAGCGGUGGUUGCUUUUUUAGCUGUUUGUGCUUUUCUACCAGGUGUGUUGGUUGUCGAACAACCGCUUUCUGUAAACUAACCCGGCCAACGGCAGCAAUGCCCCAAUCCCACAAGUCAUCUGCUGUCAUUGUGAAAGAUGCUGAUAUCAGAUUUGUUGAUGUCAACCCUGCCAGGGCUCCAGGAGUGGCCCUUCACGUCGUUCGUUCUAACCCAUCCUGACACACAAAAUGAUUCCUGGGCGCGGCGUGUGAGGCGUUGCGCACCCGGCGCUAAAUGCAAGCCAACGACAAAUCAGUUGGAAGCUGCGCGUGUGGCAUCAACGAAGGAAAAGCUAGCGGCAAUGCAGUGGCACGGGCGGAGGAGUUGCCAAGCACCACCACUAGCCUCACCCCC
rnacentral:lncRNA from 1 species